rnacentral:rRNA from 1 species
AUUGAACGCUGGCGGUAGGCCUAACACAUGCAAGUCGAACGCGAAAGUCCUUCGGGAUGAGUAGAGUGGCGGACGGGUGAGUAACGCGUAGGAAUCUAUCCUGUAGUGGGGGAUAACGUUUCGAAAGGAACGCUAAUACCGCAUACGCCCCACGGGGAAAGCGGGGGAUCUUCGGACCUCGCGCUAUAGGAGGAGCCUGCGUCGGAUUAGCUAGUUGGUGAGGUAAAGGCUCACCAAGGCGACGAUCCGUAGCUGGUCUGAGAGGGUGAUCAGCCACACCGGAACUGAGACACGGUCCGGACUCCUACGGGAGACAGCAGUGGGGAAUAUUGCGCAAUGGGCGAAAGGGCCUGACGCAGCCAUACCGCGUGUGUGAAGAAGGCCUCGGUUGUU